rnacentral:rRNA from 1 species
UAAUACGAAGGGAGCUAGCGUUGUUCGGAAUUACUGGGCGUAAAGGGCGUGUAGGCGGUACCAUAAGUCAGAUGUGAAAGCCCUAGGCUUAACCUAGGAGGUGCAUUUGAUACUGUGGAACUAGAGAUCGAGAGAGGAAAGUGGAAUUACGAGUGUAGAGGUGAAAUUCGUAGAUAUUCGUAAGAACACCAGUGGCGAAGGCGACUUUCUGGCUCGAUACUGACGCUAAGGCGCGAAAGCGUGGGGAGCAAACAGG